rnacentral:rRNA from 1 species
UACGAAGGGGGGCUAGCGUUGUUCGGAAUUACUGGGCGUAAAGCGCGCGCAGGCGGUCUUCCAAGUCAGUGGUGAAAGCCUGGAGCUCAACUCCAGAACUGCCAUUGAAACUGUUAGACUUGAGUACGAGAGAGGUGAGUGGAAUUCCCCAGUGUAGAGGUGAAAAUUCGUAGAUAUUGGGAAGAACACCAGUGGCGAAGGCGGCUCACUGGCUCGUAACUGACGCUCAGGCGCGACAGCGUGGGGAUCAAACAGG